rnacentral:hammerhead_ribozyme from 1 species
AUCCAGCUGAUGAGCCGCAAAUAGAACGAAACGUACGUCUUAGAU